rnacentral:rRNA from 1 species
AUUGAACGCUGGCGGCAGGCCUAACACAUGCAAGUAGAACGAGUGGCGGACGGGUGAGUAAUGUCUGGGAAACUGCCUGAUGGAGGGGGAUAACUACUGGAAACGGUAGCUAAUACCGCAUACCAUCGGAUGUGCCCAGAUGGGAUUAGCUAGUAGGUGGGGUAAAGGCUCACCUAGGCGACGAUCCCUAGCUGUUCUGAGAGGAUGACCAUCAUCACUGGAACUGAGACACGUUCCAGACUCCUACGGGAGGCAACAGUGGGGAACAUUGCACAAUGGGCGCAAUCCGGAUGCAGCCAUGCCUCGUGUAUGAAGAAGGCCUUCGGGUUGUAAAGUACUUUCAGCGGGGAGGCGUUACCCGCAGAAGAAGCACCGGCUAACUCCGUGCCAGCCGCCGCGGUAAUUC